UAUGAUGUAAAUAUUCACAUUGUGACAUCAAUGUCAGACUUGUUGGUGUUGUUGGGAGUUGUUGGUUCCACCCUCUGUUUUUCAGCCAAUUAUAUGUUCUUAUUUGAACAAACAGGUCUUCCCCGUAGAUUUAAUGGCAAACGGAAGAGAGGGGAAUCGCGUGCCAAAGGCAAACCCGAUCAAACAGCUAGUCUUGAACAAGUAAACAUGAAAAGGUUAACUACCGGUCAAAUAUAACAGGAUUGGUGAAACUGUUGAAGGAUACAAAAUUUACAAGUGGUCAAUUGAAGUGCCUUAGAAAAACACUAUUUUGGCCCUUAUUUGACUGUUUGAUCAGUAAUGAAGUCGACCUCAACCAUUACAUGAAAUACGAUGAUGUCAUUGUGCGUAUAGUGCAGACAUUCAAGCCAUCUAGUGGGAGGUUUUACAUCGGGGACAAGAGCAUUCAGAUUUUUAGAAGUGAUGUAUCAUUUAUCUUUGGGGUAGACUGCGGCACCAAGUCGAUAGACCUCUUUUAUGGUGCAAAACCAACGACCGGCAUCAUACACCGAAUGUGCAAGGAUAUUAGUCGGUUAAGUGCUACCAAAAUAUGAGACAUUCUAAACGAAGCAUUAAAGGGCACAAAGAAACAAGACAAUGAAGAGGUCACAAGAUUAGUUUGCAUGUAUGCAUGCGUCAAACUAUUUUUUUCUACGUCUGGAGAAACAAUCGGAUGGGCUUUAUACUCAUACAUGGACCCAUUAAACAAGUAUGACUGGGCUGAGAGCAUCCGGGCAACCCUGAUGGGUUCAUUGGGCCAAAAUUGGGGAAAACCAGGACGAGUCACCGGAUGUGCUAUGUUGUUAAUGGUAAAUCUUAUAAAACUUAUUCUAUGUUUAAUAUGAACAUUUACGGGGUCUACCCACUCUGAUGUGAAUGUUCACAUUACUGAGCAAUGGUGUCGAAGUUGACAUCAGUGAUGUAAACAUUUACAUUACUGUUCAGUAAUGUACAAACACACAUUAAUAGACACUGGUGUAAACAUUCACAUUAGUGUAGAUUGAUGUGAUGUUAGCAACAAAACAAAUGUGAAACAUACACAUUACUGAUGUGAAUGUUCACAUUAUUGGGCAAUGGUGUGGAAGUUGACAUCAAUAAUGUGGACAUUCACAUUACUGUUCAGUAAUGGAUAAACACACAUUACUAGCCACUGGUGUAAACGUUCACAUCAGUGUUAAUUGAUGUGAACAUUCACAUUACUGACCACUGGUGUAAACAUUCAUAUCAGUGUUAUUUGAUGUGAACAUUCACAUUACUGAUGUUUGUUAUUUGUUUCAGUACUGGUUGUGUGAGCAUACAACAAUCUUACAACCUCGCAACCCUAAUGCCAUUCUGCGAUGUGUGAAGUGGGACCUCACAGCCUUACAUACCAACAUGAAGUCCAUAUCUUUGGCUAAGUUUGGUUUAAAUGAGGUAGAAGUACAACAAAAAAUAUUGUGCUCAUUCACAUAGUAAGACAAGGAACUAUGUCACUAACAUAAUGUCUCCAACAGCAGGUAUAUGGCGGCGAGCUGAUGGCAUCCCCAACUGAAGCAAAGAUGUACCAUCAUACAAAAUUGAAUGUGGAGCCCAAACCUGAGGUUUUGUCGAGUGCACCAGCAAAGUAAGAUAAAAACAAUGAUGAUGAAAGCAAAGACAAUCAAGGCAGUGACAACAGCGAUGGAAUUUCUGGCGAUGCAAUGGACCUAAAUGAUGUUGGACAUGACAUCAACACCAGCUUUAGCACCCCCAAUGCUAAGAGAGGUAUCAUCAUAGCACAACCAAGUGAGCCGAACAUUGUGGAUGUACUUAUAAAAGAAAACCAAAAAGCUUGGGGUCUCGUACGACAAUGGAAAGCGAAAUACAAAUAGUUGGAAGAAUCGUGGGAGUUGAGGGCAAGGGUGAUUGCUGCCCUUGAAGCCAAACUAUUUGACCAAUCGAGCCCAUCCAAUAUGGACAUGGACAUCAAGAAUUACAUGGAGUGGAAAGAUACAGAAAUUCAGCGGUUGACAAAGUUGGUCAUCAACUUGGAAUAUAAAAAAAUAAUUCUUCAAAACCUUUUUGAUGAUCAGUCCCUCCACAUUAUCACUCAAUUUGAAGCACAAAAGGCUCAUGACAGCCUUAAGAAGCAUCCCAUUGCAGUAUUUGAACACAUUAUCAGCCCACCAUCGAGGGUAAAACGCAUCAAGCAGAAGGUAAGGAAAGAGCACCGGUUGGAUAAGUUUGAAUACCCCAACUUGCCUGGUCAAAAGAAAGAGAAAGAGGGAGCUGAAGAGCAAUCCCAUGCAAUCCAAAUUGCACAAGAUUUAGACAAACAUCCACAAAAAAAGGACCCAACAAUCUUUGAACAACAAACUGAAGGUUUGGGCCAACAUGAGCAAACUCAACAGCCAAAAGGUCCAAAAUUUACACAAGAACGGCGGUGAUGAGUUGCUUGUGUGGCGAGGGGACUCAAAGACUAAAGACGUGUAUUUUGAUGACAUCAUACACAUCAUUAAAGAAUAAUCAAUAACCAACAAUGUGAUAGAUGCAUAUGGUGAAAUUCUACUCGAACUACAAGGACUAGUCAACCCAAGUUUGGAGGAUUUGACAUUCAUCUUUACAAGCACAUGUUUGAAAAUCAUACAAGAGUAACCCCCCCCAACAAGAGAAAUAAACUGAUUGAUGUACAUAUCAAGGAGUAUCAAGGCCAGAGAUUCUUAAUCUUCCCAAUACACGACAACUUCCGCUGGACGAUUGUUGUGUACGACGUAACAGACAAUGCAUGGAGGCAUUAUAACUUGCUACGCCCAAGACCCAGCAUACAUGACCCAUAUAUUGACAAAGCACAAAUAGUGAUAAGUGGCUGACACAUAUAAUACUUGUCAUGAUGUGUAAUAUUUGAACUUGGACGUAUGCACUAUGUUGCUUGGUGCCUAAUAUGAAAUUUCAUUGUUGGUAGAGGGACUACAUCGAGGCUUUGGUGCGCAACAUCGGACCAACAUCACCAUUAUGGACCAAAUUAUCAAGCCAAAAUACUUCGCAACCAAUCAUAUCAGUAGACAUCUGUCCCCAGCAAGCAUCAGAUUCGGUGGAUUGCAGGCCUGCAGUUUGUUACAUCAUAAGGGCGCAUGUAUACCGUGAAGAUAUUGUUGACAGCCUAAAUCGCGUUGAAUGGUGUCAAAUAAGAGACUCAUUAGUACACCUUUUUUCUGAAUCACAGAAAAACAGUGCAAUGUGAAAACCUAUAGGUGAGAGGUGUCCACCUAUCACUGUUACCCAAAUCUGUUAUCCACAUUUAAGACAAUUUAGUGUCAAUAGAUUUUACAUAUUGGAGCAGACUAGCUUAAUUGUAAAUCAAGUCUAUAUCACUACUUGUAUAGAUAUUUUUCAGUCAAUAUAUGUAUAUGCAUU